UGGGGUUUCCAUUUGGUUUUUUUGUUGUUGCUUUCUCGUUAUUUCCAUGGUGAUUUCGUUAUUUUUUUUUUCAUAUUUUUUGUUCAUGACUGAACUUAUAGUUGAUGUUUGUUAUCUAUGAUUUUUUAUCUGCUUUUUUAUUUGUUAUUUUCUCUUAAUUUUUUAUAGUUUUUGUUUACGGCCGAACUCAUAGUUGAUGUUUGUUCUGAUCUAUGAUUUUUGAUCUGUUUUUUUAUUUUUUGUAUGUAUGGGGUAUAUUUUUCUUCGAUUUGGAUUGUAUAAUUCUUUGCUCUGAUUUCUUUAUAUUUUUCAAUUUUUAUUUUCUUCUUUAUUAAGAUCUUACUUGUUUUGCUUCCUUUUCUAAUCUUUCUACUGUUUUUUCAGCCUUGAAGAAAGGCAAUACAUUUCUUCAAUCAUAUUUUUGUUUCACGCGUUCAAGCGUUCAAGGCGUUUAAAGUUAAGAUUUGUUCAGUUUCUACCAAUAUUGGAGUUCAUAUUCUCCUCUUAAACACAAAAUCAAUGGACAACUUACGAAAUAUUAUGAGACAGUUCAAGACCAUUUAUCUCAAAGACCAGAAUGGAAAACUAAAAAAUGUCCAUCUUUAUGAUCCUAAAGAUGAAGUGAGAUGCAAAUUGUUCACAAGAAAUUCUUCCAUAAGGGUAGUGAAAAUCGAUAGCGGAUGGAAGAAAUUCCGGAGGAAGCUGACCAAAUUGUUUUUUAGGAUCACAAGGAAAGAAGCAGCCAAUAGAUGAGAGUCCCAAAGGAUUUUUAACUUUAUUGCUUGUUUUGUGUAAGAUUAGAUUACGAAAUUAUUUUUA